rnacentral:rRNA from 1 species
CAGCAGUUGCGCACUUGAACUGGGUUUUGGCUGGUUGCAAAACAUUUGACAUCAAAUGACAAUUUAUGUCAACUUCUAAAGUUGACCUCGGAUCAGGUAGGGAUACCCGCUGAACUUAAGCAUAUCAAUAAGCGGAGGAAAAGAAACCAACAGGGAUUGCCUCAGUAACGGCGAGUGAAGCGGCAACAGCUCAAAUUUGAAAUCUGGUCUGUUUACAGGCUCGAGUUGUAAUUUGUAGAGGAUGUUUCGAGUUCGGCUUUGGUCUAAUUUUCUUGGAACAGACGUCAUAGAGGGUGAGAAUCCCGUAUGCGACUGAAAGCCCGUCCUCAUGUGAAACUCCUUCGACGAGUCGAGUUGUUUGGGAAUGCAGCUCAAAAUGGGUGGUAAAUUUCAUCUAAAGCUAAAUACCGGCCAGAGACCGAUAGCGCACAAGUAGAGUGAUCGAAAGAUGAAAAGCACUUUGGAAAGAGAGUCAAAAAGUACGUGAAAUUGUUGAAAGGGAAGCGCUUGUAAUCAGACUUGCUCAUAAUUGAUCAUCCGAUGUUCUUCACCGGUGCACUCUGUUAUGAUCAGGCCAGCAUGGGUUUGAGCGGUCAGAUAAAGGCCCAGGGAAUGUAGCUUCUUUCGGGGAGUGUUAUAGCCCGGGUGCAAUGUGACCUGCUUGGACCGAGGACCGCGCUUCGUGCUAGGAUGCUGGCGUAAUGGUUAUAAGCGAC